AUUAGCAUGCAGGAUCAUGAUGGGCAUACCAGGUGUCUGUACUCUCAUUCUGUGCGUGUGUCCAUCCAUCCAUCCAUGCAUGAAUGGUGCGUCGGCGGAGCGCUGAAUGGGCACAGAGGGGUGUGCUCUCACAGACUCCGUAGCGGCAGCAGUGACAUGAGGAACAUCUCCUCGGCUGGACGUCUGCACUGAGCGAGGAAGAAGAGGAAGGACAAAGUGCCCGAGUUUUCAAUCAGAAGUGAUCCUUCAGCUCUGAAGUCAGCCAUGGAGCAGAAGACAAAUGAGUGCACAACCAGCACCUCUCCCCAGAAACACAUGAAGAACAGAUCCAAAUCUACAGACGAGACGCAACAGACCAAAAGGGCUUUUUCCUCACAAAAAUCUCUCCCAGGCAGACCACAGCUGGACAGGGUGAAGGAGUGCCUUGAUGGUUCGGAGACGCCAUCAUCCUCCACUGAGGAACUUAAGUGAUCAACCAACUGAUGAAUGACGUCACCAACAUAACCCUAUAAAUGUACAUUUGUAUACUCGGAACACUCAACAAGUAAGAUCACUAAGUAAAAAGUAGAAAGUAAAAAGAAAUGUGACAUGAUGUAACGUUAUGUGCUUUUACGACAAUUGCAUGCAGAACAAAAACAGUGUUUUUUAUUGUUAACAUUCGAAUACAAUAAAGUGAUGAUAAUGA